ACCCGAACCGAACCGGGAGAACCGGUUUUAUGCACAUCCCUAGGUCAUAGCACUCCCAAAACUCCCCUCUGUUAUAGGUGCCAGAACCACUAGAGUUGUUCUAACACUGAAGGUGACUUCAUCAUGGGCUCAAUCAAGUUCUUGCUCUGGUUAAAAAGUCUCCUUCCAUCAACAAUUUCUGAAUUCCAGGCAAGGUCCUGAACCACAUUAGGCAUAUCUGGCUGCAGAAGGAGGGAAGGCAAAGAAGGACUUCCCAUCACUAAAAUCUCUAACCAAAUGCAUUGUCUUUAGUAGCUUUCCUACUUGCCAGCAAUUCAUGGGCCAGAUGUGAGAGCCCAACCUGGACCUUCCAAGAAACCCUACGAACUAGCAACCCUACCAAGAUAAUCACAGAACAGUGAAACAGGCAACUUUUGGGUACAUGUCAGGAGCCUGUCCGUCCAGCGUCCAAGUCAAGGUCUCUGUCAAGGCCGCUGGAAGUUCCUUGGUGUCCUCUCCAGUCCAUCUGUCCGACAUCUUCGUUGAGGUCUCGGGCAAGGUCGCAGGCAGCUCUUUGGAGUCCCUCCCGGUCUGAAAAGAAAAAACAAGAGAACACUUUACUGGAAGUAUCAGAUUCAAACUGCCUUCCCCUACAACCUAGUUUGCUCACCAGAUAUCUACAGGUCCAGAGCCCAACAAGGUGCAAGGCCUCCUCCACAGAAGGAAAUAGUGACUGGGCACAGCAGUCCGGUCACAAGCAGGGACCAAGGGUUGGUCAGGAACAGCCAGAAACUCCAAAGCCAACACGAAGCUGGAAUCCCUCAGAGUCAGAGGCUGGGGCUGCAGCAACGCUCCAGGAAUGACACAUUGCUUCUAGCAACUUGGUUGUGGUCUGCUGACAGAUUUAUAAUGCUUGGCUGAUUGCCCUCCUCCCUCAGCCAGCUGCUGUAAAUUCAGCAUUUAUCUGCCUUGUUACAGAAAUGCUCACUUCAUCUCAAAGGCUGCAGCUGCGCAUCAUGCUCUUGCCGAUACUUGGUACGCCUUCGUUCUUUGGGGGUUAGUGCUUGUACUUCUAGCAGCUCCAAAUCUGACUGCUGAUCCUCCAGUCUGUCUGCCUCAACUUGGGCUGCCUCAGCUUCUUCCUGCAGCCCGACAAAUGAACUUUCCUCCUCUUGCUCUGCCGGAGGGUUGUCAACUUCCUCCUCCCCUUCACUAUCCGAGGGUAAGGGCAUGACAGUACAGUUGUAGUGACUGACACACAGGGACACCUCAAUGGCAUAGUUUGUGAUGAUGUCAUCCACCCUAAUUCAAGAUGGUGAAUGCAUAAAUAUUUGAGGUGUGCAUAGGCUAACUUGUGAAUUACCUGAACAAUUCGAACCAAAUUUCCUAAGCUGUAGGGAUGCCCCAAUGGUGGUGUUUGUGAUGAUGUCAUCCACCCCAAUUCAAGAUGGCAGAUGCAUAAACAUCUGAGGCACAAGUGCACUAAUGUGUGGACUGUCUAACUGAUCUGAACCAAAUUUGGUACAGUUGUAGUGAGUGACACACAGGGACACGUCAAUGGCGUAGUUUGUGACGAUGUCAUCCAGCCCAAUUCAAGAUGUCAGACACAUAAACAUUUGAGGCGCAAGUGGGCUAACUUGUGAACUGCCUAACCCAUUUGAACCAAAAUUGCAACAGCUGUAUGGACAUAUAGGGAUGCCCCAAUAGUGUAGUUUGUGAUGAUGUCAUCCACCUCAAUCCAAGAUGGAAGACAUGUGAACUUUUGAGACACAAGUGUAUUAACCUGAUAACUUCUAACCGAUUUAAACUAAAUUUGGUACAGUUUUAGUGAAGGGACACCUCAAUGGUGCAGUUUGUAAUGAUGUCAUCCACCCUGAUCCAAGAUGGUGGAUGCAUGAACAUUUGAGGCACAAGUGAUUUAACUUGUGGACCUCAAUUUGAACCAAAUUUAGUCCAGUUGUAGUGAAAAUAGGCAGAUUAGUUCUUACUAGAACAACUUGUUCUUUUCCGUAUUAAUGUAAUCAAAGUUUCUUAAUUUAAUGAAAACACUCUCAUAAUCUGUUUUAUGAAAAAAAAAAUUGUUCUUUUUGCAUACACUUUUCUUUAAAGCUAAUAAUAAAUCCUUGUUGCUGAAA